UUACGGAAGGCAGCAGUGGGGAAUUUUGGACAAUGGGCGAAAGCCUGAUCCAGCCAUUCCGCGUGAGUGAAGAAGGCCUUCGGGUUGUAAAGCUCUUUCGGCGGGAACGAAAUCGCACGGGCUAAUACCCUGUGUGGAUGACGGUACCUGAAGAAGAAGCACCGGCUAACUACGUGCCAGCAGCCGCGGUAAUACGUAGGGUGCGAGCGUUAAUCGGAAUUACUGGGCGUAAAGCGUGCGCAGGCGGUUUCGUAAGACAGAUGUGAAAGCCCCGGGCUCAACCUGGGAACUGCGUUUGUGACUGCGAGGCUAGAGUGCGGCAGAGGGGGGUAGAAUUCCACGUGUAGCAGUGAAAUGCGUAGAGAUGUGGAGGAAUACCGAUGGCGAAGGCAGCCCCCUGGGUCGACACUGACGCUCAUGCACGAAAGCGUGGGGAGCAAACAGGAUUAGAUACCCUUGUAGUCCC
rnacentral:rRNA from 1 species